CAGUAGCCGCGGUAAUACGAAGGGGGCUAGCGUUACUCGGAAUUACUGGGCGUAAAGGGCGCGUAGGCAGCACGAUUAGUCAGGCGUGAAAUUCCUGGGCUCAACCUGGGGACUGCGCUUGAUACGGUCGAGCUAGAGGAUGGAAGAGGGUUGUGGAAUUCCCAGUGUAGAGGUGAAAUUCGUAGAUAUUGGGAAGAACACCGGUGGCGAAGGCGGCAACCUGGUCCAUUACUGACGCUGAGGCGCGAUAGCGUGGGGAGCAAACAGGAUUAGAUACCCCUGUAGUCCCUGUCUCUUAUAC
rnacentral:rRNA from 1 species